UAGAGUUUGAUCCUGGCUCAGGAUGAACGCUAGCGGGAGGCCUAACACAUGCAAGCCGAGCGGUAUUUGUCUUUCGGGACAGAGAGAGCGGCGUACGGGUGCGGAACACGUGUGCAACCUGCCUUUAUCAGGGGGAUAGCCUUUCGAAAGGAAGAUUAAUACCCCAUAAUAUAUUAAGUGGCAUCACUUGAUAUUGAAAACUCCGGUGGAUAGAGAUGGGCACGCGCAAGAUUAGAUAGUUGGUGAGGUAACGGCUCACCAAGUCGAUGAUCUUUAGGGGGCCUGAGAGGGUGAUCCCCCACACUGGUACUGAGACACGGACCAGACUCCUACGGGAGGCAGCA
rnacentral:rRNA from 1 species